AGAAUCAACGCUGGCGGCGUGCCUAACACAUGCAAGUCGAACGAGAAAGUGGAGCAAUCCACGAGUAAAGUGGCGCACGGGUGAGUAACACGUGACUAACCUACCCUUGAGUGGGGGAUAACCUAGGGAAAACCUGGGCUAAUACCGCAUAAUACCUACGGGUCAAAGGAGCAAUUCGCUUAAGCGAGGGGGUCGCGGCCGAUUAGUUAGUUGGCGGGGUAAUGGCCCACCAAGACGAUGAUCGGUAU
rnacentral:rRNA from 1 species